rnacentral:lncRNA from 1 species
CCUCAUGCUAAAUUAUUUUUAUGAAACGCUCUCACAUAUGUUGUAUAAAUAUAUGCAUAUUUUUGGAUUAUUUUAUGUACCAGUAUCUUCAAGUAUUAACCCCCUAUAUUUCAGGUUCUGAGGUCCAGUCUCAUGGUACCGCUAAUCAGUAGAGUGUUCCAAGAGUUCAGAGUUGGUGAGCCUUCCUUACUUCGGAAGGCAUCCUAUACAUGUUUUAGCUUUCAGUUAUUUUAUAGUCCGACCGGGGGCCUUGUCCCGGUUUAGACAGAUUGUUGUUUCAAUUCAGUAGAGACUUCGUAAACUGUUUUAGGU